UGCCAGUUAGGCUCCUCUUAUUUGGUUACAGGCGGAGUUAGCACCUUCGCUUCCUCUACCACUCAUCCUUGGAGCUUUUUGCAGCCAAAAAUGUAUACCAAAAAAUGAGCGUUGAAGAAGGUGCCAUUCCCCUU
rfam:Oryctolagus cuniculus cont2.39136, whole genome shotgun sequence.